ACUAGCCAAAAGUGAAGAAGUUGAUGAGAAAAAGGAUGGCUGUCAAGAGCACUAGUGGUUGAGUCUUUGAGAUAUCUUAGCUAUUGCAGCGUGACGUAUGGAGCCCUAUAUAUAUCUUUGCAUUGAACUCCUUGCUGCAUGCAGAUAUUUGGUUUUGAGCUGUGAAGAAAGUUCAGUUGCUGUGUCUACACAUGAGAAAUGGUGCUGCACGCAUCAGAGUUUUUGCUACUCAUUAACUGAAGCCUUAUGUUGUACCUCAGUAACAAGUAACAGAUAAAGACAUUCAGAAUGCUUAUAUUCAUCUGGAGUUAUUAGCUUUGGAAAGAAGAUGGGACAAUAGAAGUCAGCUUGGAAGUUUGUGGGUGCAGAAAAAGGAAUUUGAAUGUGUCAUUAUGCUUGUACAUACCGACAUUAUGGCUUUAAGUUUUUGUUUAUAUCUUUCUAAACAUAGUGAGAGAUUGUUUUUGGUACUUUAUUACCAAUAAAUUUUAAUAAAAAUACACAAGUACUAAAUAUAAUU